UUUUGAAAAUAGAAGAAAAAAUAGCGAAUCCCUAAUUUCGAAUUUCCCCUUCUGAUUGAAUCGAAGCCAUGUCGCACUUCGGCAGAUCUGGGCCGCCGGACAUCCGAGAUACCUUCUCCCUUCUCGUCCUCAAUAUCACUUUUCGUACUACGGCGGAUGAUUUGUUUCCACUCUUUGAUAAGUAUGGCAAAGUCGUGGAUGUGUUCAUACCCAGGGACCGGAGAACGGGGGACUCGAAGGGCUUUGCAUUUGUACGAUAUAAAUAUCAAGAUGAAGCUCAGAAGGCUGUUGAGAAGCUAGAUGGAAGAGUUGUUGAUGGGAGAGAAAUAAUGGUUCAGUUUGCUAAAUAUGGGCCCAAUGCUGAACGGAUUCAUAGAGGUAGGAUUGAGGAACCUGUUUCCAGGUUGAGGUCCAGAGGAAAGUCAAGAAGCCGCAGUCCUCGCCCGAGGUACAGGGACAGGGACAGGGAUAGGGACAGGGCUCGCAGUAGGAGAAGCGACAGUAGAAGUAGAGAUAAAAGCGAGCGUGACUAUCCUCGUGACAGGCACAGGGAUAAGCGAUAUCGGAGCAGGAGUAGGUCUCGAAGCCGGAGCCUUAGUGGAAGUCCUGGUUAUCGUAGAGAACGUGGAAGAGGCAAAUAUGAUAAUGAUGAUGACGAGAGACGUAGACGAAGUCCGUCUUAUAGAAGUGCUUCUCCUAUUCGGCGAAGUCCCAGUCCUCGUAGGAGCCCAUCUCCAAACAAAACACCUCCUUCUAGGGAUGGAAGUCCUACCAUGGAUAAUUACAAAAAAGGACCAAGCGCAUCUAUAAGCCCCCCUCCACGCAGUCGACCUGAUUCUCCGAGUCCCCCUCCACGUGGUCGUCGUGUUUCUCGGAGCCCCUCUCCACAUUCUGAGGCUGAUGAAUGAAGCAGCGAACUUCUUCUUGUGGUAUCGUUUUCUUGCUGCUGGCAUUGCGUAACUUGAUCUAUCUUCCUUCUAUAGUUUGUGUUCCUGAGGAUAGUUGGUGGUUGACAAGAUGAUGCUUGCAGCUAUUGAAGCUUCUUUUAGAUGAUGCAGUAGAUGUUGAUGCAGCUUUUGUAUUUCUCUUUCCCAGUAACAUUUUCAGACCACUUGACGUGUAGGUGUCUCUUUCCCAGUAAGAUAUUGAACCCUUUUGGUGUGA